AGCCUCGAUUCGCUGUCUGCGUGUGAGUUCUUGUUCCUGGGUUCUUACGCCGGGAGGGCUCACGCGCCAAAACCAGUCGGCUCUACCUCGCCGGGAGGCUACCCAGUCCCUGGAUUUUAAGCGGAGGGUUGGCUCCGGGCCGGCCCUACCUCGUCCAGGCCCCAAGGCACACAGUUCCCGAGGACAGUGGUGGGCGCGAACCUGGGAUCCCCGGUACUGAGUGGGCCCAGCACAGCGGGUUCCUUUUGGACAGGCCUCUUGCCCAGUGGCGCCUUGGGACUCAGGCCAUCCGGGGAGAGCAUGGCGCUCCUGCCGUGCUCUGCGACCGCCAACGUGCUUGGUUUGGGGGGGAUUUUUUUUUGGUUGUUUUUUUUGUUUGUUUGUUUUGUUUUUUUGAGACAGAGUCUCACUAUGUCGCCCUCGGUAGAGUGCUGUGCCAUCACAGCUCACAGCAACCUCCAACUCCUGGGCUCAAGCGAUUCUCCUGCCUGCCUCCGCCUCCCAAAUACCUGAGACUACAGGAGCCCGCCACAACGCCCUGCUAUUUUUGUUGUUGUUGUGGCUGUCAUUGCUUAGCUGGCCCGGGCCAGGUUCAAACCCAUCAGCCUGGGUGUAUGUGGCCAGCGCCCUACCCACUGAGCUACUGGCGCCGCCUUUUUUUUUUUUUUUUUUUGUAGAGAUGAGUCUCACUAUAUUGCCCGGGCUGGUUUCCAACUGCUGGUCUCAAGCAAUCCUCCCACCUUGGCUUCCCAAAGUGCUAGUUUUGCGGGCAUGAGACCCUUUGCCUCGCCAACAAAGAGAACUUAACUAUGAAUCUACAGCAGUGAUUUCAAUCAGUGUGCUGCGGCACACUGGUGUGUGAUGAGAGGAGAUUAGGUGUGCCAUGAAAAUUUUUAAAGAACAUUAAUUUUCGAAAGAAGUUCAAAGCACAGCCAGCAGAAAGACCAAGAAGAAGGAGGGGGCUGCCCUCCGUGCCCAGAGAGCAUCAUCCAACGUCUUCUCCAACUUUGAGCAGACACAGAUUCAGGAGUUCAAGGAGGCCUUCACACUCAUGGAUCAGAACCGAGAUGGCUUCAUUGAUAAGGAAGACCUGAAGGACACCUACGCCUCUCUGGGUGGGUGCUGGGGCAGAGCACAUCACUUCUCAUAGAGAAGGCGAGUGAGGAAUGUCCACUGGGAUGCCCUCACUCUUCCUCCUUGAGUGAAGCCAGGGCAUUGCCUCAUAUGGCUGCCCCUGGUUUGGUCAGAGCUGGCAUGGAGCAUUCCAGGGGAAGACAGGGUGGGUGUUGGCAUAGUCCAAACAUGGAAACCCAGGGUGGACUGUGGGGCAGGGACCUCCAAAGAGGGUGAGAGACACCCCCUCCCCUGCAGAGCAGACCCCAAGCACUACACAGCCAGACACACUGCCUUGCCCAGCCUCCAUCCCCAGCAGGGGAUGUCCUUUUCCCAAGGCAGAAGGGCUGUGACUCUGGGUCCUGCCCUGGGAGCUGUGGACUGCUUCUCACCUGAGUGGGGACAGCAGAUCACCACAUCUCCCAGAAUUCUGUGCCUUCUCAGCCCUCAUCCUCAGCUCAUGCCAGCCUUAACCCAGACAGGCCUGGCCAAGCAUUUCUCAUUCCUGCCCUGGGCACUGCUCUGGGGCUGCCUGCCAGUGGAGCAGCAGGCACAUCAGCAAGAUCCAUGUCAAGGAUGAUGAGCUGGAUGCAAUGCUCAGGGAGGCCUCUGGGCCCAUCAAUUUCACCAUGUUCCUGAAUCUCUUUGGGGAGAAACUGAAUGGUACGGACACUGAGGAGAUCAUUCUAAAUGCCUUCAAAAUGUUUGACCCCGAUGGCAAAGGCAGCAUCAACAAGGAAUAGUGAGUGCUGGGCUCUGGGCAGUGUGGUGGUCUCCAAGGGCUCCCUGAUGUCCUUCCCCACCAGGAUAUGAGGGCACUCUGCCCCAGAGAGGGAUGGUUGACCCCCUGGGUGCCAAACCCACUCCCCCACCUCUGACCAGCUGCAGGGCUUGAGCAGCCAUCCCAGGAUUAGAGCAGCUAUUCCAGGGCCUGAUUCUUUGUAAUAACCAAUAACCAAGACCAGCCACAGGCACCCCAGGCUAUCCUUUCUCCAACUCAGGCUCUGUCUUUAGCCCCUGUUACAGACAGCUUCUAGUACCCAAAGCUGGGGACAGGCACUGCCCCUGGUCUCCCUUAGUCCUCAAGUGCCCUGAAACAAGUCCUCCAGAAGUGAUGACGCCUGAGUGGUGACCAUGGAGGUGCCCAGGAUACCUCAGGACCAUGCUUGCGGGGAAGGGUGGUAGUACAGCAUGGGGCCUCACCCUCUAGUCAGUCUCCUAGAGUGCCCACUCCCACCCCUUUUCUCAUAGCCUAAUUGGGCUGUUCACCUCCUCAUUCCCAGCUUCAAACGUCUGCUGAUGUCCCAAGCUGACAAGAUGACUGCAGAUGAGGUGGAGCAGAUGUUCCAGUUCGCCGCCAUCUACGCGGCGGGCAACCUAGACUACAAGGCGCUGAGCUACGUGAUCACCCACGGGGAGGAGAAGGAAGAAUGAGGGCCGCCGGCCACAGCUGGCUCAGUAAACACGACCCACCAACC